UCUCCGUAGGUGAACCUGCGGAGGGAUCAUUACUGAGUGAGGGUUUAACCGCCCGACCUCCAACCCUUUGUGAAUCGUACUCGUUGCUUCGGGGGCGACCCUGCCGCUUCGGCGGUGCGGCGCCCCCGGAGGCCAUUAAACACUGCAUCAUUGCGUCGGAGUCUUAAUGAAUUUAAACAAAACUUUUAACAACGGAUCUCUUGGUUCUGGCAUCGAUGAAGAACGCAGC
rnacentral:misc_RNA from 1 species